GUUCGUAUAAAUUUUUGGUGAUAAUGUAAGCAUCUAUUUUUAAUUGACAAAAGAAAUAGAGUAUGAAUCAGAGGUAACUUAUUUUUAAGAUUUGGGAGAUCUGUUCAAAAAAAAAAAAAAAAGAAUCUGAGGACCUAUAUGUAAACCCUAAGGACCUAAUCGUGAAUAUGAUAAAAACAAGGACUAAACUGCAAAAUGCACCAAAUGACAAAUUCCACCGCUUAAGCUUCUCUGCCUUCGUUGUUAAGGAAGCAGAGGAGGCAGCUCGUGGGUGAUCAGGGAAAGAAAGAAAGAAAGAAGAAGAAGAAGAAGAGAAAGAAAAUUGGGGCUUUUGGGGUUCUUGCUUUAAUCUUUUCAUUGGGGGUCAAAAUUUUCAAAGGAUAGCGUAACUCUUGCUUAAAUGUUAAGAAUGGGCUGAGGCAGCGGAAAGUUUAGAAGACGUUGGGCAGAACUUUUGUUAGCAUAUAUGUAGUUGUGUAUAAGCUACCUUGCAUCUAAUGAAAAGUGACUAUGAAUCUAAACCGGUGGAUUUUGUGUAAGUUAAAGGAUCCCUCAUGUAUAGGGUUUUGGAAUGUUAAAUUAAAUUCGUGUAAUGAUAUGAACUUAUGGUAAAUCGAUGAUUGUGGUGACUGCAUAGAUUUCCCCACUUGUGGAUUUAUAUUGUGGUAUUUAUUUUGAUGUGUUGAGUUCAGAUUGUAUAAAUUAUCGAGUGAUGUGUGCUAUGUUUAUGAACUGCACAGGUUUUAUGGAUGUGAAUAUGAAUAGAAUGUUUUCAGUGUCCUCAAACGUUAGUUUGGAUCCUGGAUUGGUCUAUGACGAAAAUUUUAAAAAUCAUGGAUAUUUUGAGGGGCGUGACAGAGGUGGUAUCAGAGCAUUGUUUGAGGAUUACUGAAAUAUUUGAUAUGUUGACGUGCAAAAUAUAUUGAGGUCUAAUGAACUAUAGUGAUUGGUGGAAAUUUUCUUUGAUGUAUUUUAGGAAUCUGGGAUGAUGAGGACAUUUGGUCCUCCUAUUUCAUUGUUUCUGAUUAAUUAAGGGGAAUGAAAGGAUUGAUUGGGGAUAUUGAAUCAGAGUGGCGCAGCGGAAGCAUGGUGGACCUAAUUUUAUUGGUGGUAGAAAAAUGAAUGAUGCAAACAGAGAAGAUAUUUGAUGUACAAAAUUGUUUUGAUGAUCAAAAGAUUUCUUUUGCCACCUUAUAUUGGAAGUAGAGGCUGAUUAUUAUUGGCAACAAUGAAAAGAAUUUUUGGAGAUCAGUGACAAGAAUGAUAAGGACAAGUUUACCAAUAAGAAUAUGAUUGGAAAUGAAUCAGAAAGUAAUGACAAGAGGGUCAAGACAUUUGGAUUUGAAAAGGAAAGUCAUCACCAAAGACUUAAUCAUGUGUGAAUUACAAGUUAAAUUAUGAAACAAGUUUGUGUUUUCGGGUGAUUGGAGUCUAUUUUGCUUGUAGAAAGUUGGAUCAUAAAAUAAAAGUUUGCCCUUUGAACAAGAAGAAAGAGUCACUGCCUCCUAAAUCAUCAGCCCAUGUAAGAGUGUAUGCUAUCACUAAAUAUGAUUCUGAAACUUCUGAAUUAGUGGUCAAAGGUAUUAUGCAUGUUUAUGAAAGAAUGCAAAUAUUUGUUUGAUCAUGGGUCCCAUCUACGAUUUGAUUCGUAAUAUUUUGCUUAUCACUUGGGUAUUCAACCUAGACCACUACAUUAUGUGCUAUAAGUAAAUACGAUCAUUGGAGAUUCUUUGAUAACGAACUUGAAAUCUGGUCCUCUUGUCUGAUUUUUAUUGGAGAACUUGAACUUUUGCUGAUUUAGUUCUCCUAGAGAUUUGGAGUUAUGAUAUUAUACUUGGUAUGGAUUGGCCAUCUUCUUAACAUACCAGUAUGGAUUGGUAUAUAACAAAUGAUCACUUUUUGCAUAUUUGAUCAGCCGAUCUUUUAUUUUGAGAGUAUUGGACAUUAUUUAUCUCCUUGCCUAAUGUAUCCCAGGAUGACUUGUUUGGAUUACCUCCAAAUGUGAUUUUGCUUUUGAUUUGGUCCUUGGGACAAUCCUAAAAUCUAAGCCUCUCUACAGAAAGAUAUCAUUUGAGUAAGUGGAAUUGGAAAAGCAACUACAAGGAUUGUUAAAUGAGGAUUUUAUUUGGCUUAAUAUUUUAUCAUGGGGUGCUCCGGUGUUAGUUAAAAGAUGGAUGGAACAUUGAGGCUUUGUAUUGAUGAAACUAUUUAAGAGUAGGAGGAGGAAAUAAAGAUACCAUAAUCCUCAUCUUUUCAUCAAUUGAGCUAUGAUCAAUUUAGAGGACUAAAUUUUCUUUUAAGGGGGGGAGAGUGUAACACCCCUCAUUUCCGAAUGUUCGUAUAAAUUUUUGGUGAUAAUGUAAGCAUCUAUUUUUAAUUGACAAAAGAAAUAGAGUAUGAAUCAGAGGUAACUUAUUUUUAAGAUUUGGGAGAUCUGUUCAAAAAAAAAAAAAAAAGAAUCUGAGGACCUAUAUGUAAACCCUAAGGACCUAAUCGUGAAUAUGAUAAAAACAAGGACUAAACUGCAAAAUGCACCAAAUGACAAAUUCCACCGCUUAAGCUUCUCUGCCUUCGUUGUUAAGGAAGCAGAGGAGGCAGCUCGUGGGUGAUCAGGGAAAGAAAGAAAGAAAGAAGAAGAAGAAGAAGAGAAAGAAAAUUGGGGCUUUUGGGGUUCUUGCUUUAAUCUUUUCAUUGGGGGUCAAAAUUUUCAAAGGAUAGCGUAACUCUUGCUUAAAUGUUAAGAAUGGGCUGAGGCAGCGGAAAGUUUAGAAGACGUUGGGCAGAACUUUUGUUAGCAUAUAUGUAGUUGUGUAUAAGCUACCUUGCAUCUAAUGAAAAGUGACUAUGAAUCUAAACCGGUGGAUUUUGUGUAAGUUAAAGGAUCCCUCAUGUAUAGGGUUUUGGAAUGUUAAAUUAAAUUCGUGUAAUGAUAUGAACUUAUGGUAAAUCGAUGAUUGUGGUGACUGCAUAGAUUUCCCCACUUGUGGAUUUAUAUUGUGGUAUUUAUUUUGAUGUGUUGAGUUCAGAUUGUAUAAAUUAUCGAGUGAUGUGUGCUAUGUUUAUGAACUGCACAGGUUUUAUGGAUGUGAAUAUGAAUAGAAUGUUUUCAGUGUCCUCAAACGUUAGUUUGGAUCCUGGAUUGGUCUAUGACGAAAAUUUUAAAAAUCAUGGAUAUUUUGAGGGGCGUGACAGAGGUGGUAUCAGAGCAUUGUUUGAGGAUUACUGAAAUAUUUGAUAUGUUGACGUGCAAAAUAUAUUGAGGUCUAAUGAACUAUAGUGAUUGGUGGAAAUUUUCUUUGAUGUAUUUUAGGAAUCUGGGAUGAUGAGGACAUUUGGUCCUCCUAUUUCAUUGUUUCUGAUUAAUUAAGGGGAAUGAAAGGAUUGAUUGGGGAUAUUGAAUCAGAGUGGCGCAGCGGAAGCAUGGUGGACCUAAUUUUAUUGGUGGUAGAAAAAUGAAUGAUGCAAACAGAGAAGAUAUUUGAUGUACAAAAUUGUUUUGAUGAUCAAAAGAUUUCUUUUGCCACCUUAUAUUGGAAGUAGAGGCUGAUUAUUAUUGGCAACAAUGAAAAGAAUUUUUGGAGAUCAGUGACAAGAAUGAUAAGGACAAGUUUACCAAUAAGAAUAUGAUUGGAAAUGAAUCAGAAAGUAAUGACAAGAGGGUCAAGACAUUUGGAUUUGAAAAGGAAAGUCAUCACCAAAGACUUAAUCAUGUGUGAAUUACAAGUUAAAUUAUGAAACAAGUUUGUGUUUUCGGGUGAUUGGAGUCUAUUUUGCUUGUAGAAAGUUGGAUCAUAAAAUAAAAGUUUGCCCUUUGAACAAGAAGAAAGAGUCACUGCCUCCUAAAUCAUCAGCCCAUGUAAGAGUGUAUGCUAUCACUAAAUAUGAUUCUGAAACUUCUGAAUUAGUGGUCAAAGGUAUUAUGCAUGUUUAUGAAAGAAUGCAAAUAUUUGUUUGAUCAUGGGUCCCAUCUACGAUUUGAUUCGUAAUAUUUUGCUUAUCACUUGGGUAUUCAACCUAGACCACUACAUUAUGUGCUAUAAGUAAAUACGAUCAUUGGAGAUUCUUUGAUAACGAACUUGAAAUCUGGUCCUCUUGUCUGAUUUUUAUUGGAGAACUUGAACUUUUGCUGAUUUAGUUCUCCUAGAGAUUUGGAGUUAUGAUAUUAUACUUGGUAUGGAUUGGCCAUCUUCUUAACAUACCAGUAUGGAUUGGUAUAUAACAAAUGAUCACUUUUUGCAUAUUUGAUCAGCCGAUCUUUUAUUUUGAGAGUAUUGGACAUUAUUUAUCUCCUUGCCUAAUGUAUCCCAGGAUGACUUGUUUGGAUUACCUCCAAAUGUGAUUUUGCUUUUGAUUUGGUCCUUGGGACAAUCCUAAAAUCUAAGCCUCUCUACAGAAAGAUAUCAUUUGAGUAAGUGGAAUUGGAAAAGCAACUACAAGGAUUGUUAAAUGAGGAUUUUAUUUGGCUUAAUAUUUUAUCAUGGGGUGCUCCGGUGUUAGUUAAAAGAUGGAUGGAACAUUGAGGCUUUGUAUUGAUGAAACUAUUUAAGAGUAGGAGGAGGAAAUAAAGAUACCAUAAUCCUCAUCUUUUCAUCAAUUGAGCUAUGAUCAAUUUAGAGGACUAAAUUUUCUUUUAAGGGGGGGAGAGUGUAACACCCCUCAUUUCCGAAUGUUCGUAUAAAUUUUUGGUGAUAAUGUAAGCAUCUAUUUUUAAUUGACAAAAGAAAUAGAGUAUGAAUCAGAGGUAACUUAUUUUUAAGAUUUGGGAGAUCUGUUCAAAAAAAAAAAAAAAAGAAUCUGAGGACCUAUAUGUAAACCCUAAGGACCUAAUCGUGAAUAUGAUAAAAACAAGGACUAAACUGCAAAAUGCACCAAAUGACAAAUUCCACCGCUUAAGCUUCUCUGCCUUCGUUGUUAAGGAAGCAGAGGAGGCAGCUCGUGGGUGAUCAGGGAAAGAAAGAAAGAAAGAAGAAGAAGAAGAAGAGAAAGAAAAUUGGGGCUUUUGGGGUUCUUGCUUUAAUCUUUUCAUUGGGGGUCAAAAUUUUCAAAGGAUAGCGUAACUCUUGCUUAAAUGUUAAGAAUGGGCUGAGGCAGCGGAAAGUUUAGAAGACGUUGGGCAGAACUUUUGUUAGCAUAUAUGUAGUUGUGUAUAAGCUACCUUGCAUCUAAUGAAAAGUGACUAUGAAUCUAAACCGGUGGAUUUUGUGUAAGUUAAAGGAUCCCUCAUGUAUAGGGUUUUGGAAUGUUAAAUUAAAUUCGUGUAAUGAUAUGAACUUAUGGUAAAUCGAUGAUUGUGGUGACUGCAUAGAUUUCCCCA